rnacentral:rRNA from 1 species
CCUACGGGCGGCAGCAGUGGGGAAUAUUGCACAAUGGGGGAAACCCUGAUGCAGCGACGCAGCGUGAGUGAAGAAGUAAUUCGUUAUGUAAAGCUCUAUCAGUAGGGAAGAAAAUGACGGUACCUGAGUAAGAAGCCCCGGCUAACUACGGGCCAGCAGCCGCGGUAACACGUAGGGGGCAAGCGUUAUCCGGAGUUAAUGGGUUUUAAGGGUGCGUAGGCUGUGAGGUAAGUCAGCGGUGAAAUGCCUCCGCUCAACGGGGUGAAGUGCCAUUGAUACUGCCUUGCUGGAGUGCGGAUGCCGUGGGAGGAAUGUGUGGUGUAGCGGUGAAAUGCAUAGAUAUCACGCAGAACACCGAUUGCGAAGGCAUCUCACGAAUCCGCGAUUGACGCUGAUGCACGAAAGCGUGGGUAUCAAACAGGAUUAGAUACCCUUGUAGUC